GAAAAGGGGAGCUCCUUACAGGGGCUGAGAGGAGACUGAUGAGUCUCGACCCAUAACCUGAUUUGGGUAAUGCCAACGUAGGGAUAUAUUUUUU
rnacentral:ncRNA from 1 species